rnacentral:rRNA from 1 species
UACGGAGGAUGCGAGCGUUAUCCGGAUUUAUUGGGUUUAAAGGGUGCGUAGGCGGCGAGUUAAGUCAGCGGUAAAAGCCCGGGGCUCAACCCCGGCGAGCCGUUGAAACUGGCUGUCUUGAGAUGUCGAGAGGUAUGCGGAAUGCGCAGUGUAGCGGUGAAAUGCGUAGAUAUCAGGAGGAACACCGGCGGCGAAGGCGGCCUGCUGGACUGAAACUGACGUUGAGGCUCGAAAGCGUGGGGAGCAAACAGG